ACCUAAGCCCAAAAAAACAAGAAUUAGAGUAAUACCUGACAAGGAACUGUACAGGAAAAAAGCUACCAAAAGGUGAAAAAUUGCCUGACGUCAGGACUUUCUGAAUUGCUCCAUGUUCUCCUUUCCUGAAAUACUGAGUGAUAGGAUUUACUCAAGGUGAAGCAGAGUGCUCUAGCCUCUAAGCAUCCAUCUGCAUAUGCACUGUUCCAAAGGACAGGAGGACCUCUGUAACUGAACAGCACUGCUGGGUAGGUGGGUUCCACCCACUGGAAGAAAACCAGCCGUGGAGCUCUGAAGUACAGCCCUGGUGGUUAACGAGCUUGUGGCCGGGACUGAGCAGAUAUAAAACAUCAACCAAGAGUGUCAACACAUUUCGUGCUGUGACAAUCUCACCCCGGGAGCUACAUUACUAGUACACACUGGAAACCCUGGAUUCAAAACUGAGGGAUCUUCAUAUUCAGAAGAUCUGAGAUUAAAUCCCACUGUCACUCAAGGAUAGUUUCAGUAUGGUGGAGUUCAUAAGGCACACAGGCCUGCAUCUGCUCUGCCUGCACGGCUCAUCUCAGACAUAGCUGCUCUGCAGUCUGCAGCAGGACGGCAGCUCGCUGCGGGGCCGGGGAGGAGGCACAGGACAGGGCAGGGCAGUUCUUACCGAAGGUCCUUCCAUGGAAGCCACCCAUGAAGGAGAGCAUGGCGUAGUCGGGGCAGCCGGGGGGCUGGAAGCAAAGCGCAGAGGUCAGCGUGGUGCCGGAGCCGAGCCCUGCGGCCUGCCCAAGGCCUUCCUCCCCAGGCAGCAGCCACCAAAGAUGGUGACAUCGGCACAUUUAAGAAAUGCGUCAUCCCGUAAGAGCUUCCUGAACUCCUACGUUAUAUCAUUAGCAUUAAAAAAUAUUUGGCAAUUUAUACCGAUAAUACUAUACAACAGCAGAACAUUCAGUACAAUCAGCCCUUUUUGGUACAAAUGACAAACACUUGUGCACGGUGUGCCCAUGUCUGGGGGUGGCGGGGCCUCUGUGAGCAGAGGUGGGGCUGCCCCAGCUCCAGGCCCCACAGGGCACAGCUGAGCCCCACAGCGCUGCUGGGGCACGGGUUUCAGAAUGGGCAGAGGGGGGCUGCAGUGAGGGAAAAGCGAUCCAGAGCAGAUCACACUGCACAGCCCUGAAGGAAGCCACAGCCUGUGGAGAACCCAUGCCAGAGCAGCUUUAUCUUGAGGGACUGCAGCCCAUGGAAGACCUGCAUGGGGCAGGGGAAAUGCGUGAGGAGGAAGGAGUGGCUGACAGGAACAGUUAUGGACUGAACACUGAGCCUGGGUAAAGGGAUGGUGGGGCCACAACACAACAGAUUCCCUAAGGGCUGAUAAGCAACUUCCUUGUAUGCUACAGACUGCCUAGACAAGAAGCAGAGAUACCAAAGCAGUGAGUGAGAGCUGCCUCCUACGUGUACAGCUGAGUGUCUGCACUUAGGGCACGCUCGGACCAGCACACAGCUACUGACAUGCUGUACCAAGAAUGAAAAUGGAACCAUGACAAAUGACUUGCAACCUGUGUACUAUGUGGAAUUAGGUGCCAUUCUUUUAUUAGUACGGGCACAGCCAUCUCUCUGACCAGACUGUGAGCGACACCAGAGAACUUUAAAACCAAUUCUGAAGACAAGCAAAACCCAAACCCUCCUUCUUCACGUUUUUAAAGCCAAAUGAAUUCACUAAUCUCAUGCAAAUGAACAGAGUGCUUUUCUCUAGAGAGGUGACAACCAUGGGGCUGGGACCACCAGGUUACGUGCAUCUCAAAGAAGAAAUUAAAUACAGUUUUCUGCUACUGCAAGUUAAGAUUUGUACCUGGCAUGAGCAAGACCACCUCAGAUGAAAGCUGAGUAGGAUUUCAGAGCUUUUUCAGCUGCAUCUCAGUUUCCUCAUCCCACCCAUAACAAUUAAGUUUUAACUACCCUCCUGAUUACUUCUAAGCCAUAAAAUCACAGCUGCUGGAAAAAUGAAAAGGACUGUCAAUAUUAUUUGCAAAAUGCACAUGUAUUAAUAAUCCCUAUGGAUCCAUCCAUCACCUGGUUCCCUUUCUAGGUAUUUCCCAAGAUUCACUGUGGAAGGAUGCAGAAUACUAGCAGCAGGUCUUGUUAUUUGUUGGAAGCAGUUUGUCUGUCACCAUUUUCUAAGUUGACAAAACUGAGAUUCCACUUUAGAGUCAGGAAAGCCAUUUUUUCCCCCCAGCCUUCUCUUAGAAACCCAAGGCAGUGUUACAGCUGUAUGGUAGAAAACCCCACAGCGUUACCUGGUUAAUCAUGCACGAUUCCAGCUCCUCUUUUGUGACAUUAUUACGGCCCCUCUCCUUGUUCUGCAAAUAAACAAAACAAAAACAAAAAAACACCAGCAGUUUUCCUUUAGUUGUAAUCACUGAAUUUGUAGCUGAGUUAAGAAUUACUAAUUCUGUUAUUUCAAACUAAAGCCAAUGGAGACAUUGACUGUGGUUCCUAUGACUGCAAUAUGCAUUUUGUAAGACAAACUGUUUUAGGUAAAUGUCAGUUCAAGAUGUUGGCCCUAGUAAUGUACAGAUAGGCAAAGCCAGUCUGUCCUCUCACCCCUACACAUCAGGAGAAAGGACACUGCUGAUGGGGAGGCAAUUCCCAAGGAAGACAUGACCUUCCUUGAGUUUUAGGUUAAACCAUUUCUGGAAGAAGAGGAAACAGAUCACAGUACACAGCUGAUCACGCGGUGAACAAAGAAUAAGCAGUAAUACCACAUACAUUUUCUUUCUUUCCUUUCCUUUUUAAUUUCUCAAGUUGUAUCAAUAGCAAUUGAAAGCUCAGAUGAAGGCUUUUUAAUAAAGAACCUAUAUUAAGUUGAAUAUAAAUAACAUUACACCUGGAGAGCCUCCAAGCCUUACUUUGCUUGGUAACAGCAUUUAUGUUGAUGGAUAAAUACAGAUUUCUACAUCCAAAACUACAAAAAAAGCCCACUAUUAAAAUUUUACUCACUCUGUACCACAUAAAUAUUAAUUUAAAUGCAUUUUCAUUUGAGCAGGAUCCACAAGCCAUGGUCAUCACCUGUGGCAGACCCUUGGGAGCCACCUGUCAAUAAAAAGAGAAAAUCACUUCAAAAGACUGAGCACAACUGUAGUGGAAACUGAACAUUAUGUAAUGUAAUUAGUUUCAAUGUAAUGGGAGAACAACCAUGCCUGGGAUGAGGAAAGCUGACUCUUACUGCAGCUGAAGGGGCUCAACACAGUCCACUUAUGCUAUCUCCUAUGAAAGCAUGGUGAACAGAAGUAAAUGAAAAUGCAUUCUGUUCUCAAUUCUUGAAUCCACACUGAAGGAGGCAGCAUCUGUGCUGAGAGCAGACACAUCACCCUUUCACAUUCAACUGUGAAGCCUGGGGAAAAAGGUUCAAUCUUGUCACUUGCUGGUUCCGGCCUCUUGAAAGAGCUUCCUCCCUCCAGCAGGUGGACAAAGAGCUAAUCCAUGGUGUUCCCUAUGAAAACCCCACUUCUCUUCUUGUUCCCUGAACACAGAAUGCAGUCACUCGGCACAGCCAUCUCAGACUUACUGAUAACAAGGAUUCCUUCAGUCUUUCUGAAAAGUUCUCUGGAGAAACAGCUGGAAACCUCAUCUUCCCUACCGCUCAAGAAGUCAGCCUGCUCUAAUGUUAUUACAAAAGCAAAUCAUGCCCCUGAAUUCCCCAUUCUAGUUGAAUGACAACAGCCCUUAUUAUCCCGCCUGAGCAGCGGAGCAUUCGGCUACUGCAUUAACAAAUCAAUUAUAAAUUCCAUUUUGAAUAUUUUAGUUCAAAACAAGGAAAUAUCCAGACUGUUUUUCAGACGCACAUCACGCCGCAAGGAAUCUGUUAAAAUUAUUAUGAAGAUGACACAAGUGGCUAUUUGGACACAGGCAACUAAACCUGCACUGCAUCAGCUGCCAAGGGAAGAACUGUGAGAGGCGGCCAGGGCUGAGGGCUGGGCACUGAGAGCUGAAGCUGUGGCUGCAGCCCAGGGCACCUUGGAGAGCGCAACAUCGGGAAUCUCAAAUUACACUUGUUAUGGAACAACAACCAGCGCUCAGGGAGCUUAACCAUUAACUCCGACACUGCUUGUAAAAACGUGUGAAUCUGUUGCAGGGGUUAAGUUAGCAUGAAGAACGCGAAGACCUUUGUAUCUUUUGUUAUGUAACACAAAUUGAAGGCUUCUGUUACCCGUAACCCAUUUUAUUCCAUCCCCACAAGAUGCCUUCUUCCUCUCUCUGCACUCGGUGCCCUGCAGCUCUGUCUGCCCCCUCCAGCACUCCCUGAUCAUCAGCGCAUCCUUGCCAAGACCCUGGUGCAGUAAGAGAGAACCCUUCAACCCUGCCUUUCUGCAGGAGCAGGAACACGUAGAAAGGUGCUGAACUGCUGCGCGGGUUUAUAUUAAUAAAUCUAACGCAGGAAAGACCGGAAUGGUUAAGUAAUUAUUAUGUAACUAUUGUAGACAAAGUCAGACAGCUCCUGGGCUAAGACAGCAGACGGGAGCUUGUUUCAUUGCCAAGGGCAGCACCACGGUUUAUAGCUUUAUGAAUCCACUCUCCAGCACUUUCCUAUCAGAAGUGACAGAGCUGGCUCUAAGAGGAGGGCACCUGUUCCAUCACUUUGGCUGCCUGUCCCAAUCAGCACAGCAGAAAAGAACACGUCCUCCAGGCUCAUGAAUGUGCCUGUUUGCAACAGGAUAAAAACUGCUGAAAGAAAGAGAUGGAGAAAGCCUUAAGAACAGGCUGCCGCCAGCAACACCAAACUACACCCCUCUGAAUCUCCAAGAAAAAGAACAGGCCUCACCAACAAUAAAAAACAGAUUAUUUCAUUAGCUAUUGCAGGUGACAUGCAAGUAACCAUGUCGACAGAAUCCCUCCUGGCAUUUGGCUGCAGAGGGUUUCUAACUCUAUUACACACAUUAGACACAGGUUUAAAGGAACACGUGUUACAAUCUCCCCAAAACUAUGGGGUUUAAAAAAAACCAAAACAGUUUUAAAACAGAAACAGUCCAGAACAUCUUUGCCUGCAGAUUUUUUAUACUUCUUAUCUCUCUGCACAGGCGGUUAUUACCUCUCACCUUCUGCUGAUAACUACAUUCUGGUGCAGCAGAACGUUAUUAAAUCUCGGGGAGCUCUGACAGAUUCAUAAAAGAUUCUGCUGGGUUUACGUGCAGAGAUAAGCACCGAUGACUACAGGCACCUUGAUCUGAGAACGUCAGCUCACCCAGAAAUCUCAAAAAGAUUUUCUUCUGGUGUCCGAGUUAGGACUUAUCUCUGUCACCAAGAGGGACGCUGUUAGCAACCUCUGCAGCUUCACUUUGUCCAUCCUGUCGCUCAGUUCAACUUAGAAAAAACUAAUACUGUGUGUUCAGUCAGAUUUAAGUCAGUCUGUAUUACAUUCCCAUUUAGUUGUUGCUGCACAUCACAGAUCCAUGGUGUGAGAGGCUGUAUGAAGUGCUGCACUAUAGCUCUUACAUGGCACAUUACACUCCUGACCAUUUUCCUUUCUACAUGGCAGCAUCCUGAAUGCACUUCAAGCAGUUUUCCCACCAUGCAUCCCAUUGUGUGUCUUGAAUAUUUGCUUUGAUAAAAGCUCAGCGAUCAUUAGGAGGGGAGGAAAUGAACUAAGAGACCAGUCAAAAUCCUACUUUAAAUCAGCGGGUUCUCAGGAAAAGAAAUCCACCCUCACUUAGCUAAACAGCUUGGUAAAACUGUUUUGAAGACAUGAAUUUUGUUUGCUUAAUUUUCUACUCCUUUCAAACCAUGAAACUCACCACUGUCCCAUGCCAUAAUGUGUGACGGGACGUUAGAAUGAACGCAUCAAAGAGUUUCAUCUCUUGGUCUGCAUGAAUGGAUGAUGAAAUCCCAUUCCUUUUUCCAACAAAGACUGCUGAGAACAGCUGGCUACAGUUCCGCCAACCUCCUUUUACACACAUUUUCCAUCAUUAGAAAGCUACAAUGAGCAAACAGAAAUGUUCAGAUAAAUCAUUCCAUGGCUGCAAGCAGAGCCAAAAUAGCAGUGGAGGUGUUCCCAGAAAAGUGAUGAAUGUAUGUCCAAAAGCCCAGGGGAGAUGCUGCCACAGCUGCCUGCAAACGAUGCAAGUGCUUUGGCAUGAGGAAGGUAGUCAAUGGAAGCUCAAGAAGAAAUGAGAAAGGCCAAAUGAAACAGGCUGUCUAGGUUCUCUAAGAGUUGGUCCCUUGCUUUGAGUCUGGCCCUAACACAAAUCCUAUUAAUAGACGAUUGCAGGGUACGUUAAUUGUAGUUUAGACAAGAGGAGAAAAACUAAAAACAAAUCAAAACACACACACACAGAACAACAUCAGCCACAUUAGCCAUCGGCUGUUACCUUUCCAGCAUGCUGAAAGUGUCAGAAAAGGCUAUAUGGCAUUUAGAAUGCUUAAACCCUGAAGUUGUUCAGCUAUUAAUAAAGAAAUGAAUAAUAAAUAGCUGAAUAAUUAGCUACUGAUAAAUAGCGCAAUGUGUUUCCUAAGAAGUUCUGCCAGUUAGGAGAAUAUUUCUUCCCUCUCCUGACUGCAGGAAGAUGAGCAGUGCUGACCCAGUUCCUAACCUUUUAGGAGGAUCUUUGUCCAUGCAACAGGACUACAAACCCCCAAUAUUUUUCACUAUUAAGAAGAAAGGAGACAGAGGGCUUUUAUGUGUUCCUAGCUCAUUCUUUUUUCAUUUGUCUUCUCUCUUUGCUAAUGUCAAUGUUCCCGAUACUCUAAGAGUUGUACUGAACUAAGCAAAGAUGGGGCAACUGAAAGACAUAAAGCCACUGGCUCUGGAUGCUGCCCAUAACAAGUCAGCUUCUUUAGAAGACCUGCCUGCUGCACUCAGUGAUACCUGCAAGCCAUUAUAUGGACUCAUAACACAAAGUUUCUCCAAAAUAGCACUUCUUGUUUGAAUAAAGGAAGGUCUGGAAUCAUAAA